rnacentral:rRNA from 1 species
UACGUAGGGUGCAGGCGUUAAUCGGAAUUACUGGGCGUAAAGCGCACGUAGGUGGCGACGUAAGUCGGGUGUGAAAGCCCCGGGCUCAACCUGGGAAUUGCAUUCGAGACUGCAUUGCUGGAGUACGGAAGAGGAAGGCGGAAUUCCCGGUGUAGCGGUGAAAUGCGUAGAUAUCGGGAGGAACAUCAGUGGCGAAGGCGGCCUUCUGGUCCAGUACUGACACUCAAGUGCGAAAGCGUGGGGAGCAAACAGGG